GUGCUUGCUCUGGCAGCACAUCUACUAAAAUUGAGAUGAUGUAGAUGAUGUAGACACUGGCACGACACCAGCGCAAAGAUGACACACACACUUAUGAAGUGUUCCGUAGUUUG
ensembl:snRNA U6 U6 spliceosomal RNA